rnacentral:rRNA from 1 species
GAUGAACGCUGGCGGCGUGCCUAAUACAUGCAAGUCGAGCGAACAGACGAGGAGCUUGCUCCUCUGACGUUAGCGGCGGACGGGUGAGUAACACGUGGAUAACCUACCUAUAAGACUGGGAUAACUUCGGGAAACCGGAGCUAAUACCGGAUAAUAUAUUGAACCGCAUGGUUCAAUAGUGAAAGACGGUUUUGCUGUCACUUAUAGAUGGAUCCGCGCCGCAUUAGCUAGUUGGUAAGGUAACGGCUUACCAAGGCAACGAUGCGUAGCCGACCUGAGAGGGUGAUCGGCCACACUGGAACUGAGACACGGUCCAGACUCCGACGGGAGGCAGCAGUAGGGAAUCUUCCGCAAUGGGCGAAAGCCUGACGGAGCAACGCCGCGUGAGUGAUGAAGGUCUUCGGAUCGUAAAACUCUGUUAUUAGGGAAGAACAAAUGUGUAAGUAACGAUGCACGUCUUGACGGUACCUAAGCAGAAAGCCACGGCUAACUACGU